rnacentral:rRNA from 1 species
GAUGAACGCUGGCGGCGUGCUUAACACAUGCAAGUCGAACGGGAUCGGCUGGAGCUUGCUCCGGCCGUGAGAGUGGCGAACGGGUGAGUAAUGCGUGACCGACCUGCCCCAUACACCGGAAUAGCUCCUGGAAACGGGUGGUAAUGCCGGAUGCUCCAGUUGGAUGCAUGUCCUUCUGGGAAAGAUUCAUCGGUAUGGGAUGGGGUCGCGUCCUAUCAGGUAGUCGGCGGGGUAACGGCCCACCGAGCCUACGACGGGUAGCCGGCCUGAGAGGGCGACCGGCCACAUUGGGACUGAGAUACGGCCCAGACUCCUACGGGAGGCAGCAGUGGGGAAUAUUGCACAAUGGGCGCAAGCCUGAUGCAGCGACGCCGCGUGCGGGAUGACGGCCUUCGGGUUGUAAACCGCUUUUGACUGGGAGCAAGCCCUU